UACGUAGGGUGCAAGCGUUAAUCGGAAUUACUGGGCGUAAAGCGUGCGCAGGCGGCUUUGCAAGACAGAUGUGAAAUCCCCGGGCUCAACCUGGGAACUGCAUUGGAAACUAGCGGGCUCGAGUGUGGCAGAGGGGGGUGGAAUUCCACGUGUAGCAGUGAAAUGCGUAGAUAUUGGGAAGAACACCUGAGGCGAAGGCGGGUUGCUGGGCUGACACUGACGCUGAGGCGCGAAAGCCAGGGGAGCAAACGGG
rnacentral:rRNA from 1 species